AUGGCUGAGCCCCCCCUUGCUGGCAGGGGAUCAAAGCCCAGGGCCUUUCCUGCCUGCGUAGGACAGGGGAGCUGUGUGUCACAGCCCUGGGACCCUCGUCAGCAGCGCUGCACUGCCCCAUGCGCUGUGCACAUCCUGCACUGUCCAUUCACUGUGCACAUCCUGGGCUGCCCCAUGCAUUGUGCACAUCCUGGGCUGCCCAAUUUACUGUGCACAUCCUGGCUGCCCCAUUCACUGUGCACAUCCUGGCCUACCCCAUGCGCUGUGCACAUCCUGCACUGCCCCAUGCACUGUGCACAUCCUGCACUGUCCAUUCACUGUGCACAUCCUGCACUGUCCAUUCACUGUGCACAUCCUGCACUGCCCCAUGCGCUGUGCACAUCCUGGGCUGCCCCAUUCACUGUGCACAUCCUGCACUGCCCCAUGUGCUGUGCACAUCCUGCACUGUUAAUUCACUGUGCUCAUCCUGGCUGCCCCAUUCACUGUGCACAUCCUGCACUGCCCCAUGCACUGUGCUCAUCCUGGGCUGUCCAUUCACUGUGCACAUCCUGCACUGCUCCAUUCACUGUGCACAUCCUGCACUGCCCCAUGCACUGUGCACAUCCUGCACUGUCCAUUCACUGUGCACAUCCUGGCCUGCCCAAUUUACUGUGCACAUCCUGCACUGUCCCAUGCACUGUGCUCAUCCUGCACUGCCCCAUGCGCUGUGCUCAUCCUGGGCUGCCCCAUGCACUGUGCACAUCCUGCACUGUCCAUUCACUGUGCACAUCCUGGACUGUCCCAUGCACUGUGCUCAUCCUGCACUGCCCCAUGCAUUGUGCUCAUCCUGGGCUGCCCAAUUCACUGUGCACAUCCUGCACUGCCCCAUGCAUUGUGCACAUCCUGCACUGUCCAUUCACUGUGCACAUCCUGGACUGGCCAAAUUUCUGUGCACAUCCUGGGCUGCCCAAUUCACUGUGCACAUCCUGGACUGCCCAAUUUUCUGCCCUCAUCCUGGACUGUCCCACUUUCUGUGCACAACCUGGGCUGCCCCAUUCACUGUGCACAUCCUGGACUGCCCCAUGCACUGUGCACAUCCUGGGCUGCCCAAAUUUCUGCCCUCAUCCUGGACUGCCCCAUUUUCUGUGCCCAUUUUCUGUGCACAUCCUGCCUUUCAGCCGGGCGGAAAUUGUCACUUUAGGACCCGAAACAGAAAGGCACAGACACACUGGAUUUUCUAAGGCAAAAGAGAGGGAAGUUUAA
rnacentral:lncRNA from 1 species